AGGACGAACGCUGGCGGCGUGCUUAACACAUGCAAGUCGAGCGGAAAGGCCCUUCGGGGUACUCGAGCGGCGAACGGGUGAGUAACACGUGAGUAAUCUGCCCCUAGCUCUGGGAUAGCUCCGGGAAACCGGGAUUAAUACCAGAUACGACCACUUUAGACAUCUUCUGUGGUGGAAAGAACUUCGGCUAGGGAUGAACUCGCGGCCUAUCAGCUUGUUGGUGAGGUAACGGCUCACCAAGGCGACGACGGGUAGCCGGCCUGAGAGGGCGACCGGCCACACUGGGACUGAGACACGGCCCAGACUCCUACGGGAGGCAGCAGUGGGGAAUAUUGCGCAAUGGGCGAAAGCCUGACGCAGCGACGCCGCGUGGGGGAUGAAGGCCUUCGGGUUGUAACCCCUUUCAGCAGGGACGAAGCGAAAGUGACGGUACCUGCAGAAGAAGCGCCGGCUAACUACGCGCCAGCAGCCGC
rnacentral:rRNA from 1 species